CCGCCAGCUAAGGUCCCAAAUUACUACUAAGUGGGAAACGAUGUGGGAAGGCUCAGACAGCCAGGAUGUUGGCUUAGAAGCAGCCAUCAUUUAAAGAAAGCGUAAUAGCUCACUGGUCGAGUCGGCCUGCGCGGAAGAUGUAACGGGGCUAAGUAGUAAACCGAAGCUGCGGCAAUAUACUUUUGUAUAUUGGGUAGGGGAGCGUUCUGUAAGCGGUUGAAGGUGUGUGGUAACGCAUG
rnacentral:rRNA from 1 species